rnacentral:rRNA from 1 species
GAUGAACGCUGGCGGCGUGCCUAAUACAUGCAAGUCGAGCGAACAGAUGAGGAGCUUGCUCCUCUGACGUUAGCGGCGGACGGGUGAGUAACACGUGGAUAACCUACCUAUAAGACUGGGAUAACUUCGGGAAACCGGAGCUAAUACCGGAUAAUAUAUUGAACCGCAUGGUUCAAUAGUGAAAGACGGUUUUGCGGUCACUUAUAGAUGGAUCCGCGCCGCAUUGGCUAGUUGGUAAGGUAACGGCUUACCAAGGCAACGAUGCGUAGCCGACCUGAGAGGGUGAUAGGCCACACUGGAACUGAGACGCGCUCCAGGCUCCUACGGGAGGCAGCAGUAGGGAAUCUGCCGCAAUGGUCGAAAGCCUUACGGAGCAACGCCGCGUGAGUGAUGAAGGUCUUCGGAUCGUAAAACUCUGUUAUUAGGGAAGAACAAAUGUGUAAGUAACUAUGCACGUCUUGACGGUACCUAAUCAGAAAGCCACGGCUAACUACGUG